rnacentral:other from 1 species
AAUAUCCUGGGGUGUUCGAGAACCUUUGUUGUUGAACCUACAUAAUGACAUAAGGGAUUCCUACAUUCUGUAACAGAAAUCAGGCCUCGCACGUUACGUGGCUGUGAAUGUCUCGAACAUUCCCGCCGGUGGACGAUUGAUGUUGCUGUGCGGAGACCCACCUGGCUGAGGCUGGGUGUCAAAACCAGGGUACGGCAUCUUGGGAUAUUU